CAGUAGCCGCGGGAAUACAGAGGAUGCAAGCGUUAUCCGGAAUGAUUGGGCGUGAAGCGUCUGUAGGUGGCUUUUCAAGUCCGCUGUCAAAUCCCAGGGCUCAACCCUGGACAGGCGGUGGAAACUACCAAGCUGGAGUACGUUAGGGGCAGAGGGAAUUUCCGGUGGAGCGGUGAAAUGCGUAGAUGUCGGAAGGAACACCUGUGGCGAAAGCGGCUCACUGGACCAUAACUGACGCUGAUGCACGAAAGCUAGGGGAGCAAACAGGAUUAGAUACCCCUGUAGUCCCUGUCUCUUAUAA
rnacentral:rRNA from 1 species